rnacentral:lncRNA from 1 species
AUUGUGUGUCUUUUUAAGCAGCAGUUUGGCAAUGACAAUCAAACUGAUACUAUGUAAAAGUUUUGAAAUGUUAUGGCUGGCUACUGGGGUUUUUAUCUAUUCCACUUCUUGAAAAUUUACCAAAUAUAGGUUGGCUGUAAAAUCAUAACUAUCUGAGGUAUCUGUCAAUAAAUCAAAGAUUGCAAUGAUUAUAGCUUCUUUAACAUGAAUGUAAUUCUAACACUAAAAAAUUUCUAUAUGGAAUAUGUUUUGUAGUCCUGAAUUGAUAUUUUAUAUUAUUUUUCAGUGAACAACUAGUUGUUUACAGGGGUCUGUGCAUAUGUCUCUAGUUUUUCUAACUAAAAUAUUAAUAGUUAAUUAUAAAAAUAUGAAUUAUACAUGGGGCUUGUCAUUCUGACAUUUAAUACUUCAGCGUGGUGAUAAUGGUGAUACAAUAUACUGUUUGAAAUUGUAACACAUGAGUUAAAAUCAAGAUUGAUUUGUACAUAUUUGUAUAUUACUACAUGACAAAAAUCUAGGAAGAAUAUGAUUCACAUGAAAAUUGUUUGCAAGGACGUGACAAAGUUUUAACAGUCCUGUGUAGUGAAAGGAGAAUAGAAGGACUACUUCUACUUUCUGUAUCUGAAAUUUUCAAAAGCUGUUUCAAAAUGAACAUUUAAACAACAGGAAAUUUUAGAGACAACCACUUUGUGCCUGUCUUCAUCCUUGACAUUCAACAUCCUAGGAACAAUGGGCUGUUGUAUUCAACUUCUUAUUCCCAACAGCCAUUACGAAUGGUUUUUGAUUGAACUCACAAAGAGCAUGUGAUUUAGACAUUAAUGCAGCGACUACCAUGAAACAGAGUAUUGGAUUACCUAAGGAAAGAAGCAGAAGAUGGAAUUUGAGGCAAUCAGGAUGAGUGAAAAAUUUAUUUGCAGCUAACCUGCAAAUGGAAUCAUCAGGAACAUUCCUUUCUCAUGGAGUCCCUUAAUUUACAAGUUAACUGCAAACAUAGGAGAUGAUAGUUCCAAGAAGGAACAUUUUAUCGUCUUUGUUUUUAAUCUCAAGAAUGGUACCUACCAUCAGUGAAUGACCUGUUGCAGUGCUUUCAUUGAAGUGUUCUUCAUUCCCUCAGCAAUAUGAUUGUGAUGACUGAAAAAGGGAAACUCUGCCACUAUUUGUACCAUCAUCUUCACCAAAAUCUAAAAAUGCUUUUUAUGAUGUAUGGAGACAUUCUUCAUGUUUGUUUCAGUGGACACUCCUUGCAGAUGUAAAAAACUGAGAAAGCUCACUUUUGGAAAGUGACCUAAAGAGUAUCAUUGAAGUGAAUUUUAAGUAGGCACGAUGAUUGUUUUCAUGGUUGCUGUUGGAUCAUAUCUCAGGAGCUGGAAUGACAGACAUUAUUGAACAAAGAAAUCAGGAUAGUGGAACUUAAAGGGCUUCAUCUCAGUGCUUUCAUAAGUAUGAAGUGCAUAUAUUUAUAAUUUUCACUAAUCACAGGAAUAUUCCCUGUGUAUACUUGCAUUUUUUUCUAUCAAUUGACGCUUACAAUUAGUUUUGCAAGUUGGAAAAAAAUGCAGUAUUAAUUUCAUUUGCAACAAAUUUAAUAGAUUAAUUAGGAGAGAAUAGAUAUCUUUAAAAUUGAGUCUUCUAUCCAACUGCAAGUUAUAGCUGAGGUGGUACCAGUUUAAGAAGUGAGAACUUCUUCACUGACUGAAAUUUGCAUAUCAAUCCAAAUCAUUGUGCUUGUUUACUAUUUUUGUAGACGUCAUUCUUCAAAAGUGCUGCAUCUUUCGUAGUCAAGGAGGACAAAGACAUCUUUCCUGCAGGUGGUGACCAUGUGGAUAAUAGGAUUAUAGACAAAUGGUGGUUCCAUCUACAGUAUCACCAAAAUGCUGUUGUUAUUGCUUCUUUCUGGGAUCUUCUUGCAUCUUUGCUUCUCAAGGGGCACAACUUUUAUAGAAGUAUGUCCAGGAAUAGAAGUGACCUGCUUUUUCGCAAGUAAUUGCCUGGAAUGUUUUUAUGUACUUCUCUGCACUCUCAAUACAUUUCAUGCUUCCCUCUAUUUUUGUAUAUUAACUCAUUGUAUUUCUUAAAUUUAUAUUUUACUUUAUGAAUGGAAGUGAGAUUUGUGUAUGGUAAAUAUAAUUAAUUCAACCCCAUGGACACGUUAGUCACUCUCCAGAUGAUGGCAAGUCUUUCUCAGAAGCAGAGGGCCUUGGUGUGCCAGUGAUUUUUUUUCCCAUGUGUAAGACACUUUUUUUCCUCAUUUGAAUCAGGAGCCCACAGUUUUUAGACAAGUCUCAAAUGAAAUCUUAAGCAUUUGUUUUAUCUGGACUAGACUUUCUGUAGUAUCCUUUUUGUUAGACCUAAUAUAUCUCACUGCAGAUCAGGAUCUGAGAUUGACUAUAGUUCACCUCCUUCCAAGUACACAAACUUGGAUGACAUGACAACUGAGUGUGUAAGGGAGAGCGAGACCCUUGCACUGCCAUUUGAGCCAUUGUGAUCUCAUCUUGUAGAACAUGUUGUACAAUCAUUUUCUUGGUAUCAUUAGUGUUCUUUGGGGCUAGAAUAAAAAUCUCAGUGUACCAAAGAGAUUUCCCCUUUAUCCACAUUACCCUGGUUUUCCUUUGUUUUCUGUUUAACCUAAACGGGCUUAAUAUAAAAUAGUGUUUAUUUGGUGUUUUAAUUGUCUACUUCUAUAACAUAAGCUGCACUGUCCACUGGGGAACUGCUCACCAUAUUGCCCAACCUGUCUUGAUAGGUUUAUACAUGGGAGGUAUUCAGUAAUAUUACCUCUCUAGACCAGUGUUAGCAAUAACAAACACUUGCUAGAAUUUUAAGACUAUAUAAUCAAUCCCUUUGAUGUCAGUUAAUCCUACCAACACAAGAUUAAAGGUUUAAAAAUCUCAUACGUGU